GGAUGUGAUGGGGAGCGAAAUUUAGUAGCGAAGUAGCUGAUUUCACACUGUCAAGAAAAGUCUCUAUCGAGGUUAAAGGUACCCGUACCGCAAACCGACACAGGUGGGUGAGGAGAGUAUCCUAAGGCCAGCGAGAGAACUGUUGUUAAGGAACUCGGCAAAAUGACCCCGUAACUUAGGGAUAAGGGGUGCCACCAUCAGGUGGCCGCAGAGAAUAGGCCCAAGCGACUGUUUACCAAAAACAUAGGUUUCUGCUAAGUCGCAAGACGAUGUAUAGGAGCUGACGCCUGCCCGGUGCUGGAAGGUUAAGGGGAUCUGUUAGAGCAAUCGAAGCAGUGAACUUAAGCCCCAGUAAACGGCGGCCGUAACUAUAACGGUCCUAAGGUAGCGAAAUUCCUUGUCGGGUAAGUUCCGACCCGCACGAAAGGCGUAACGAUUUGGGCACUGUCUCAACAACAGACUCGGUGAAAUUGUAAUUCCGGUGAAGAUGCCGGAUACCUGCGACAGGACGGAAAGACCCCAUGGAGCUUUACUGUAGCUUGACAUUGGGUCUUGGUACUACAUGUACAGGAUAGGUGGGAGGCUUUGAAACCAGGACGCCAGUUUUGGCGGAGCCAUCCUUGGGAUACCACCCUUGUAGUACUGGGACUCUAACCAUAGGCCAUGAAUCUGGUCUUGGGACACUGUCAGGUGGGCAGUUUGACUGGGGCGGUCGCCUCCCAAAAGGUAACGGAGGCGCUCAAAGGUUCUCUCAGUACGGUCGGAAAUCGUACGUAGAGUGUAAAGGCAAAAGAGAGCUUGAUUGCAAGACAUACAGGUCGAGCAAGGAUGAAAAUCGGACUUAGUGAUCCGGUGGUUCUGCGUGGAAGGGCCAUCGCUCAACGGAUAAAAGCUACCCUGGGGAUAACAGGCUUAUCUCCCCCAAGAGUCCACAUCGACGGGGAGGUUUGGCACCUCGAUGUCGGCUCAUCACAUCCUGGGGCUGUAGUAGGUCCCAAGGGUUGGGCUGUUCGCCCAUUAAAGUGGUACGCGAGCUGGGUUCAGAACGUCGUGAGACAGUUCGGUCCCUAUCCGUCGCAGGCGUAGGAAAUUUGAGAAGACCUGUCCUUAGUAC
rnacentral:rRNA from 1 species